CCUCCUCCGGCUCCCGGCUCGGACGAGCGGCCGCUCCCGGACCCCUUGUCCUCUCCGGCUCCCCCCAUAGGAGCAAGAGGCUGUAAGGGAAGCGCGGGCGGCUUGCUGCCGCACCGUGAACAUCGGCGGGGUCACCCAUGGAGGCAAGACCACUCUGACCCACAAGCUCAUGCAGGCCCUGCUCAACUGCAGCGUGGUGCAUCAGGAUGACUUCUUCCAGCCCCAGGACAACAUAGAAGUUGAAGAUGGAUUUAAACAGUAUGAUGUA